UCUCCAACAGGGUGGGUGUGUUUAUCAGGGUUGGUGCGUUAUCUCAUCAGGGUUGGUGUGGUUUAUCUCCAUCAGGGUGGGUGUGUUUAUCUCCAACAGGGUGGUGUGUUUCUCAACAGUGUGUGUCUUUAUCACCAAAGGGUGGGUGUCUUUAUCCAACAGGGUGGGUGUCUUUAUAUCCAACAGGGUGGUGUCUUUAUCUCCAACAGGUGGGUGUCUUUAUCUCCAACAGGGUUGUGGUGUCUUUAUCUCCAACAGGGUGGGUGUCUUUAUCUCCAACAGGGUGGGUGCUUUUAUCUCCAACAGGGUGGUGUCUUUAUCGCCAACAGGGUGGGUGUCUUUAUUCAACGAUGUCUCAGGGUGGUGUUUCAUAUGGUAGUGCUGUCUUUAUCUCCAACAGGGGGGUGUGAGUGUGUUUAUCUCCAACAGGGUGGUGUGGGUGUGUUUAUCUCCAUCAGGGUGGUGCUUUUCUCCUUCUGUGGGUGGUGUGUUUUUAUCUCCAACAGGGUGCGUGUGUUUAUCUCCAACAGGGUGUGUGUUAUCUCCAACAGGGUGUGUGUUUUAUCUCCACAUGUGGGUGUGUUUAUCUCCAACAGGGUGGGUGUGUUUAUCUCCAUCAUGGUGGGUGUGUUUAUCUCCAUCAGGGUGGGUGUGUUUAUCUCCAUCAG
rnacentral:lncRNA from 1 species